rnacentral:rRNA from 1 species
GAUGAACGCUAGCUACAGGCUUAACACAUGCAAGUCGAGGGGCAGCGAGAAGAAAGCUUGCUUUCUUUGUCGGCGACCGGCGCACGGGUGAGUAACGCGUAUCCAACCUUCCCCUUAGUAGAGGAUAGCCCGGCGAAAGUCGGAUUAAUACUCUAUGUUCUUUCUGGAUGGCAUCUGAUGGAAAGCAAAGGUUCACCGCUAAGGGAUGGGGAUGCGUCUGAUUAGGUUGUUGGCGGGGUAACGGCCCACCAAGCCGACGAUCAGUAGGGGUUCUGAGAGGAAGGUCCCCCACAUUGGUACUGAGACACGGACCAAACUCC